GGGGGUGAUCGGUUUCGACGGUGGUCGUGAUUCCACGCGAAGCGGGUCGAGGAUGCAGGCUUAUCUCGUAAACGAUGCUUGCAAACCAAUAGGUGCCGAUUCCAAGCGCACCGACUUCGCCCUCGCUGCCUGAUAGCGCGAGCGCACAUGAAGUCCGUCAGCCCGGGGUAGCUUCCGCUCCGGAUCCUGGCGUCAUCUAGGGAGCCACCGCUGUCCGUCCUCGUCGGUGGGGCGGGCGGGGCUUUUAGCCGACUGGGCCUGUCAGCAACUUGUCUGCGUGAGUGCUGGGGCCAAGAAAUGCCAUAGCAGACUGCACCCGGAGAAUUCGUGGGUGACCGUCACCGGACCCGGGUUCGAUUCCCGGCACCUCCACCU
rnacentral:tmRNA from 1 species